UACGGAGGAUCCGAGCGUUAUCCGGAAUUAUUGGGUUUAAAGGGUGCGUAGGCGGCCCGUUAAGUCAGGGGUGAAAGACGGUGGCUCAACCAUCGCAGUGCCCUUGAUACUGUCGGGCUUGAAUGUACAUGAGGUAGGCGGAAUGUGGCAAGUAGCGGUGAAAUGCAUAGAUAUGCCACAGAACACCGAUUGCGAAGGCAGCUUACCAAGGUAUGAUUGACGCUGAGGCACGAAAGCGUGGGGAUCAAAC
rnacentral:rRNA from 1 species